AAUCUUCAGAAAACCACAUUGUGAAUCCUGGACCCUCCAGGUACAGAAAGGAAACCCCAACCUUCCCACUCAAGUAUUACCGAGUAACUUGCCUCCCCGAGUCAAGACUGGAGGUUGAAUUCAGGAACUUUUUGAAAUAUCCUCAUAUACACACAAUUUGCUCAACAACAGGACACAGAAGAACACAAACUCCUAUUCAGAAGAGGGUAAACAGAGACGGUGGGCACCUGCUCACUGCGUUUGGAAACCCUGUGGAGAAGAUGUUGUAAUGGUCUCCAACUGAGCAGGGAAGUCUUGGUAAUGGAAGCCCAGGGCCCCUAAAGCAGAUCACAGAGGGAUCCUGGAGACAGGCCAGCUCUCCAUCGAUGACUGCACCCCUCCUACUGGCCCAGAGGCGGGACUCCUGGGCCCAGGGCAGCUGCAGGAAUGCAGAGACGUUCUGUUUUGGGGAAGAAUUUCCUGAAUGCCUCGUCAGUUUGUCCAGCAUAGCUCCACUGUUUUCAAAAACGGACUGCAUCCUCCUCCUUCCACCCGGAGUGGUAAGAUCACAAAUCACAAGACCAGGGACUCCUUCUGACUUGCUCACCGCUGUAUCAUGAAGGCAUCCCCUCUAGUAAGUGUCUAGUAUUUGACAGUUGCUGAAUGAACACACUCAAGGAGUAUAUCAAUGCUCUAAAUAGAAAGGAAAUGAAAAGACUGGUGUUGCCGACUUAGGAGUUUUAAAUGAGGGCAGAAGAUCAUGAUGGGACAUUGAUGACAAAAUCCGAGAAUCACCAGGGAUUUGGGUUACAGGACUCACAGAGGCACAGAGUAAGGGACUUGUCCCGCAAGGCCACAUUCCUCAGCUUCUUUUCCUGCAAUCUGGGUUGCCUUGCUUUUCCUGCAUUAUCACUGGGAGCGUAACAGACUUCGCCGGAAGGAAGGAGGCAAAACCGCUCUGGUCCCCCACCUUCUUUCCCCUCUUCUCUUUCUCCUACCGCUAGCCAGGGAAAGCUCUUUAAUUAGGUUUAAUUAAAUAAUUGUGUGUUUAAUAGAAACUUGAGGUGAUGGUGAAAUGCAUAUAUCCUGUGUUCUCAUCAACAGCUGCCAACAUUAGCUUUCUCUCUGAGUACACUGAAGACAAAUGACUAGGAAUCUACACCACAAUGACACGUGGCUACCCUUUGAUAUCUAAGUCUGUGCGAAGCAUCACUUGUGCGGAAGUGCAUCCUGAAAGAAAGGAAAAGUUUUAGGAAACCGUGGAGGAGGCAGGUGUGUUCCACGCUGAAGAGCCACUGCUAGUGCAGUGUGUGUGCACUUGUUUUCCCCCAAAGUAUUAAUGUUUUUAUGUGUGGAACGAUUUCCAUCUAGAAGCUGACUGGGACACUUCUGUUUUUCCUUUAUGAUCAUUAUUUUAGUGUCAAAUUCUUUGCAAGAAGGGAAUUUAUUGUAUUCCUAUUUGUGUCCCUGCACUAUGUAAUACUCUUCUUAGCAGACAAAGCUUCUCAGUAAAUACCUGCUUGAACUGAAUGUGGCUGGUGGACGUUGCAAGUGUGAAGUGUGGUGUUGCUGGUUAUGGGUCUCUCACACUCUGAGAGAAACAGGAGAAGAGUCCCGCAUCUACCACUGUAAUCAAGGAACUAAUCAACUCCGGCUGCUGGGGGAGAACACGUGCCCAGCAUACUGGUGAUUGACAAAACGCAACAAUGGCACCAACUGGUGUUGCAGACUUUGUCUCACAUCUCACAGAGGGACACACGCAGAAGGCUGGGGCUUCGGCUUGGUACGUGCACGGCGGCACUGCUGUCUUUGUGUGAUUAACGUGAAAACGUUUUAACGUGUGCCGCCUUGGGAAUGGGAUCCACGAGUUAGACUCAAAAACUGUGUAUGGGCUAUUGUUUAUUAGUAGGUAACAGAGAUUGAGAAAGACCACAGGUUUGAAUUUGAAAAGCUGCUAUUUGCUAAGUGCUUUACUUAUCAAUUUCUAAAGCAUUUUCAACUUAGGUAAAUUUUAAAUGUAAUAAAAUUUGGAUUUUUAAAAGCUUAAAACA
rnacentral:lncRNA from 1 species